GCGGAGCUGUCCUGACUUCUGCGGCUGGCGCUUCUCCGGACUUCAAACCUAAAGGGACACUGGAGAUUAGACUGGGUUUGGGGUACCAAUGAUAGAGUGACUUUAAUGUAGUCAGGGUUUUUAAUGUGUCUGCAAUUUGGCUUUCUGUUCAGGUUUUCCACUCUAUCUACAAGAAAGUUAGAGUUCUAAUCUCAUAGUUAGAAACUCAGUGUUAUCUUUAAUGAGAAAUAUAUAGUCAUGUUAAGGGAAAGAGAACCGUGAAUUAUCGAGUUUAUCUAUUUCUAUAAUUUGUCAGUCCUAAUACAGGUAUUUAAACAUUUAAUCCUUUGAAUUAAUGUUUCUGAAACUUUGAUUAUGCUUAUAAAUCACCGAUAGGUCUUGCUAAAAUACAGAUUCUGAUACUGUAGGGACAGGUUGGGACCUGAAGUUCUGUGUGCCUCACAAGCAUUCAGGUGAAGCCUAUGCUGUGUUAAUAAGGCUUGUAACAACCUUAGGAAGUAGGUAUUUUGUUGUUUUACAAAUGAAAGAUACUGCUCCCAAGGUGUGCUUUUACUGACCACUUUGUUUAAAAUUCUAUUUUUUGCCCAGUAGCAUAUGCUUAUAAUCCCAGCUACCUGUGAGACUGAGGCAGGAAGAUUAAGGUCAGCCUAGGCAAUUUAGUGAGAUUCUGUCUCUAAAUAAAUAAAAAGGGCCGGGGAUGUAGUGCAGUGGUGGACGGUUUUCAAUCCCCAGUACUUGAAGAAAAAAAAAAAAAUCCAUCUUUCUCCCACUACUUAUCUCUGCUUUAGUUCUCUAUGGAGUAUUUACCAGUUUUGAGCAGAUGGUGAAGUUUACCUAUUCUCUCCUUUUCAGAAGAUAAACUCUUGUGCAGUUCACUUUUAUAUUUUUCAGUGUGUUGAAAAGUGCCUAGCAUAUACGACGCACUCAGCAAUUAUUACAUGAAUGACUGAUUAAUUAUGCAACUGAUAUGGAAAAAAAUGAAGACCCAGAAAUCAGAAAGGACCUUUCCAGGAUUCCAUAUCUGCAAUUCUAGGUCUAUAUCAUGGAUAGAUGCAUAGAAUGGAUUGGAUUUAGGGGCCCAGCUAUAACACCACAACCUUGCAGCCUUUGUAAACCUGGAAUGGGCAAAAGCUGUCUCAAAGGAGAGACCACAUUGAAAAGAGGAGGAAUGUCUGGGGCUGGUUCCCAGCUGUUCCAGCCAUUUCAACAGAGAUGGUAAAAAUGUGAGUGAAAAAGCUCUGUGGAUGUUCCAGCCUAGGAGAUGCCACACGGAGCAGAAGACCUGUCCAGAUGAAUUCGACCCAGAGUGUAGGAUUCUGUGAAAUAAUAAAUCAAUGUUGCCAUUUCAUGUCAUUACAUUUGGGUGUUUUUUGAUGUAGCAGUAGGUGACAGAAGCACCAGGCAAUUUUUGAAAUCUCCAUGAACCUAAGUUUUUUGACAAUACAUUAUCUGCCACUCAAGGCUUUUUAUAGAGUAGCUGCUCAAUAAAUGCUGUUUCUGGCAUUUUCUCAGUGUGCUGUGCUUCUUCCACUUUCUUAUUUGAGGGUUAUUUAGGUCUGUCACGGAACAUUAGUCAGCUCAAGUGCUAUACUCUGAAGUUGAAGAGAUUCCUAAAGUAGGCAGAUUUUGGAAGCUCACUGGAGCAUGGAGAAACUGGAGCAGCCAUCUGGCAAAGGAUAAACUCUUGACGCCUCUGGCAUCUUUCCCUAAAAGUUUGCUUUCUUUUUCCUCCUUCUAGGAAGAUAGGCAACAGAAAAUAGCAUGGGCUGUAAGUUAGAUACAGAUUUGAAUUUUGCCUUUCCUAUUUACUGGCUAUGUUAUUUUAAAUAGUUGACUCAUUUUUCUAAGCCUCAAUUUCCUCCUUUGUAAAACAGGGAUGAUAACAGUGACUGACUCACAGGUGUGGGAGCCAAGAUGGUGAGAUGACUGCUCUCCUGAGCAGAGGUACAUGUCAGACAGUACAGGCUGAUUAUCCCUAAUCUGAAAAUCUGAAAUCCAGAAUGCUCCAAAAUCCAAAACUUUUCAAGUGCUGAUGUGAUGCCUUAAGUAGAAAAUACCACACUAUGAAACUUCAUUUUAGGCAUAAAAUUAUUUAAAAUAUUGUAUAAAAUUACUUUUAGGCUAUGUGUAUGAGGUAUAUGUGAAACAUAAAUGAAUUUCAUGUUUAGAUGUGGGUUCUAUUCCCAACAUAUGUCAUUAUGAAUAUGCAGAUAUUCCAAAAUCCAGAAAAUCUGAAAUCCAAAACACGUCUGGACCCAAGCUUUUGGAUUAGGGAUAUUCAAGCUGUAGUGAGAAAUAAGCUUUAACUGGUUGGACUGUAAAAGCCCAGAAUUUUUAUUGUAAGUUAGAAAGUGAUAUGAUAAAAUGGUAUUUGGGGGAAGAUUAGUCUGAGAAUAGUAUGCAAAAUCGAUUCAGAGGAGGGGAGCCAGGAAUUAGGAGGCAUUUCAAGUAAUUUUGGCAUGAGAUGAUAAAGACCUGGGGUGGCAGAGGGAACAGGGAAAAAAAAAAAAAGAGAGAGAGACCCACUUCAGAGAAAAAAAUGGGGAUUGAGUGAAGAAGAAAGAUGAAGGAGUGGAUGAGUGAAAAGCCUCUUCUAGGUCCAUGACAUCAUUGCUCUCUGCUGAUUCCCUCCUUGAACUCAUGUUUAUUUUUUUAUUCUUAUUUUUCGACAGUGGGAUUGAAUCCAAGGGCGCUUUAACCACUGAGCUGCAUCCCCAGUCCUUUUUAUUUUUACUUUGAAACAGGAUCUUGCUAAGUUGUUGAGGGUUUUGCUGUGUUGCCAAGGCCAGCCUUGAACUUGCGAACCUCCUGCCUUAGCCUCCCAAGUUGCUGGGAGGUAUGCGCCAGGCUCUUAUAUCUAUAGUUUUUUUUUUUUUUUUUUUUAAAGUUUUUAAUAUGAGCAUUUCGGCUAGCGUUUGCAGGCACGGUGAGUUUAUACAAAGUUGUUUAAAAGUGGAUGAUACUUGGGGCUGGGGAUUGGCUCUAGCAGUAGCGCGCUCGCCUGGCAUGCGUAAGGCCCAGGUUCGAUCCUCAGCACCACAUACAAACAAAGAUGUUGUGUCCGCCGAAAAAUAAAAAAUAAAUAUUAAAAAAUUCUCUCUCUCUCUCUUAAAAAAAAAAAGUGGAUGAUCCUCUGAGGAAAGGAAUUGUGUGUGUGUGUCUUUGUUCUGGGCUUCCUAGACUUGAUAGCACUUCUCACUUUAAAAUUUUUAUCCCUCUCAACUUCAUAAUUAAUAGAUAUAAUUACUUACCUAUUUUAUGUUGGAGUCCCACAACUUCUCAGAAAUUUUGACCUCCACGUCUCUGAUGAAUGACUGGGAGACAGACAUGUGCUCUGAAUCUUCUCCUCCUGGUGUGUUUAGGGAGUUUUUUUCCCCCUUCCAUUUUGUUUUUUACUGGUGCAUUAUAAUUGUACAUAAUGGUGGGAUUUGUUGUUACAUAUUCAUACAUGCACACAAUAGAACAAUAUGAUUUGACCAAUAUCAUUCCCAGGUUUUCCCCCUUUCUCUCUCCUCUCUGCCCCUGGUUCCUUUCUUCUACUCUCCUGGAUUCCCUUUGAUUGCCAUGAUAGUCUCCCUGCCCCACACCUUUCUUUCCUUUUGCCUCUAACCUCCAUAUGUGAAAGAAAACACAUAAUCCUGGAUUUUCUGAGUUAGGCUUGUUUCACUUAACAUAGUGUUCUCAAGUUCUAUCCAUUUUCCUAAAGAUAACAUAACUUCAUUCUUCUUCAUGGCUGAAUAAACUCCAUUGUGUAGACAUGCUAGAUUUUAUUUAUACAUUCAUCCAUUGCCAGGCACCUACGCUGGUCCCAUGGUUUGGCUAUUGUAAAUUGUGCUGUUAUAAGGAUAGGUAUUCAUGUAUCACCAUAAUAUACUGACUUUAAUUCUUUUUUAAAAUUUUAUUUAUUUAUUUUUAUGUGGUACUGAGGAUCGAACCCAGUGCCUUACAAGUUUCAGACAAGUGCUCUACCACUGAGCUACAACACCAGCCCUGAAUUUAAUUCUUUAGGAUAAAUAUGGAGGAAUGUUAUAGCAAGGUCAUGUGGUGGUUGCAUUCGUAGUGUUUUGACAAACAUCCUUUCUGAUUUCCAUAGUAGUUUUACUACUUUACGGAGUAAAAGUGUUCCUGUUUCUCUACAUCCUCUUUAGCAUUUUUUAUUGUUUGCAUUCUUGACAGCUGCCAUUCUAAAUGGAGUGAGAUGAAAUCUGUGUAGUUUUGAUUUGCACUUACCUAAUUACUAAAAGUAUUGAACAUAUAUUUCUUGACCAUUUGUAUUUCUUUUUUUUAAUAUUUAUUUUUUAGUUGUAGUUGGACACAAUACCUUCAUUUUAUUUGUUUUUAUGUGGUGCUGAGAAUUGAACCCAGGGCACUCACACAUGCUUGGUGAGUGCUCUACUACUGAGCCACAACCCCAGCCCACCAUUUGCAUUUCUUUUGAGAAGUGUAUGUUUAGUUCAUUUUUGUUUGCAUUAGUUUUUUUCCAAAUCAGAUACAAAUCUCAAGGCCCUAUUGGUCAUUUAAAAAGAAUUCAGCAUUCUCCUGGGAAUAGUCCUUUAGAUUUUUCUAUUACCUCAUAAGAAAAGUAAAAAAAUAAUUAAAACAUUCUAGUCCUUUAUGAAUCAAGGUUGAUGACUUACAAGAAAACAUCAGGGAAUGAAAGAUAAGAUUUUUAUUGGUAAUAUAUAUAGGCAAAAAGCAUUUUAGAAAGAUAUAUGUGUGUCUUUGAGCACUGGAAUGUGAUUAUGCUAUAAUGAACUUGUCUAUCCGUUUUAAUGUAUGUAGGUUAUUGUAUGUAUGUAAUGGAGGUAACCUUUGGGAAAUUAUUAACAUGCUUUCUGUCUUUUGCUUUUUCCAUACAAAACAUUUACUCAAGUUUUUUGGAGGCAUCCAUCUGUGGAGAAGGUAUGUAUCAAGAAGUAAGUCAGAGAAAAUAUUUAACUUCAGACAUGAAAAAUAGAAUUAUUCAACAAAUUAAUAGUUUGGAAAACUAGGAUGUUGUCCUCAGAAAUAAUUCUCUAAGUCUUUGUAUUCUUGUUUCCAUACUAGGUUGACAUUCUCAGUUUGUAGGUCUUUCUACAGUUUAAACAAAUGCCCUGCAUAUCACUAAGGCUUAGUUGAAGUCAGUAAAAAUGAAGUAGGAUGUGAAGGAGUUAAAACAAAACCCCAAAACCAUUCCCUUUCCUCCCAAGGGAAGCAAAGAAAGAGGAAGAGCAAGGUUGUUUGAUGUGAGAAUUUUAGUUUUCCUUGUUUGGGUUUAUCUCAGAGAGCAGGAGGUAUGUGAGAUGGAUGAGGGUACCAGAAGGCCAGGAAGAGUUUCUGUCUUGCGCCUUGCUUGGGACUCUAGAAGAUCUUAGAUUGCUCUUGUGUCCAUUGGGGCACGGCUCUGUUCAUUUGACAGCACAGUGAGUGCAGUGGAACGAAGACUCAGGUUUGGCUGCCCACAAUAGCCCUGGUUACCAUGUUGCAUGGACAGGACACUCAGAUAGCAAAAGUAGAUGGCCCUGGUGGUGGGGGUAGAUCUCUGCUCUGCCCCUAAUUCUACAGCACAGGAUGCUUGAGACUGCUCUAACCAGAAUCGCACAUAAGUGGCCUUGUCAGAAAUGUGGAUGCCAUCCUAGAUUUUCUAUUCCCUUUUCACAGAAACACAAUCACCUAUAAGCUCCUGCUUGUCACUUUCUGUCCCUUGUCUCUUCUAGUUUCCUGAUGCAUCACCUGAAUGCCAGCCGUAGUGGAAGUUCCCCUGUUGUGCUUGCUCAUACGUGCCUUCAUGCCUUUGCACACGUGUUGCCUGUGUGUGUGCAGUGUCCUUCCCUCUGUUGUGUGUAUACAGAACCCCUAACUCAUCCUUUAACUCUCAGUUCAGGAACAUCUGUGAGGACCUUGGCCCCCAAGACAGUUAGACUCCAGCACUUCCCUUACAGUCUUCUUGUGCUUACAGUCUUAGCCAGUCCCUGUUUGUUUGUAGACUCCCACAGUGGAAUGAAGGGGAGGGAUUUUGUGGUGUUCAAUUUUUUUUUUAAUCUGCUGUGGUUUGGAUAUGGUUUGAAUAUGUUUCCCGUAAGUUUGUGUGCUAAAGUUUGGUCUUCAGUGCGAAGAUAUUGAGAGAAGAUAUGAACGGGACUUUUAAGAGGUGGGGCCCAUUGGGAGAUUAGGUCCCUGGGGGCAUCAUCUUUAGAAAUUAAUGUUGUUCUCAUGGCGCUCUGGUUAAUUCCUGUGAGAGCAGAUUGUUAUAAAAAGACUGAGCUGGGCGCAGUAGUGCAUGCCUGUAAUCCCAGAAGUUUAGGAAGCUCAGACAGGAGAAUCGUGAGCUCAGUGCCAGCCUCAGCAAUGGCAAGGCUCUAAGCAACUCAGUGAGAUCCUGCCUCUAAAUAAAAUGCAAAAUAGGGUUGGGGAUGUGGCUCUGAGGUUGAGUGCCCUUGAGUUCAAUCCAGGGACCUAAAAAAUAAAAAACUGAGUCUGGAUCCUGAAUCUCUCUGGCUUUCCGUCUCAUCCUAUGAUCUCUCCUCUACCCCACCAUUGUGAUUACAUCUGCCCUGAGACCCUCACAAGAAGCUGAAUCAAUGGGGCUUUUGUAUCUUGGACUUUUAGCUUCUAAAAGUGUGAACUAAAUAAACCCUUUUCCUUAUAAAAUACUCAGCCUCAUAGUAUUGUAUUAAGACAACGGAAAAUGGACUAAGACAGUAUCUCAAGGCAGGCUGAUGUCAAAUAUUUAAUGACUCUUGGUCUUAAGUGUUUGUUGAAUGAAUGAAUUUAAUAAAGCCAUGUUUUUAGAAACUUUUAAUAUUUUUAUGUUUUACUUUUGAUUGUUCCCAGGAAUGUAGGUAAAUUAACAUUAGUUUUGCUAAGAGACUUGUGCAAACUGUGCUGAUUUUUCAGUCGAUUCUGAAUGUUUUUAAUCUUUCCUUACCUUUGAGGAAGCCUGAAUGAUUCCAUAUUUGGCCUUCAAUUUGUCUACUCUCCUCUGCUGACAGUUCAACCUCUUUAAGGGUAGGCUUUCUGUUUGGCUGUAUAUGGUAUUGUACAGUGGUGUGGGGCUCUUAAUAAAUAUAAAAAACAUGAAAUACCAGUUUAAAAAUAAUACUUUGUGAAUACUCAAAUACUAAUAUGAAAACAUUACUAGAUACUUCUUCAGAAAAAAAGCCCUGAAGGAAAUUGAUCAAAUUAUUAACAGUGGUUGUCUUGAAGUAGUGAUAACAAGUAAUGUAUUUCACUUUUUUUACUAUUCUGUCUUCUAAUUUUUUUCCUAAUAAUGUUUUCAAAUGAAAUCACUGAAAUUAUGUUUUCCUGUUAGAAGGGUGAUAAAGGAUAGUGGUUAAUAGUGUAGCAUUUUAACAUCCUAAACUGUAAAAGAGGGUAGUGAUACAAAGGCUAAACAUACUAAUAUACCUGUGUUUUAGUCAGCUUCUUGUCAACAUGACCAAAAAACCUGACAAGAACAACAUAGAGGAGCAAAAGUUUCUAUUAGCUUCAGUGUCAGAGGGUCAGCCCACGGUUGGCCCACUCCAUUGCUCUGGGCAGGAGAUGAGGCAGAACAUCAUGGUGGAAGGGUGUGGUGGAGGAAAGUAGCCCAAGGCAUCGCAACAGAAAGCAGAGAGUGCUCUGCUCACCAGGGACAAAAUAUAAACCCCAAAGGCAUGUCCCCAGUGACCCACCUUCUCCACCCACACCCCACCUGUCUACAGUUACCACUCAGUUAAUCAGUAUCAGUGGACACCUCAUAUCUGAACCAUACCAACGGUAUUAGCCAGACCACUCUUGAUUGCUAGUAGUGGGCCCUACUCUGAUGAGUUAAGACACAAAGGAAAAGUCAUUUCUCAUCUGAAUCCAGAGCUUUACAUGAAGUGUCUCUCCUCACCUCUCAGCAUCCUUUGGUGUUUUGGCUCCAUUUUCAGAUCAGUUUCCUACUAAUGACCAGGAAACAAAUGGCUACAGAUAGUUAUAGGUUUAGAUUUUUAAAGGGAGGGAGACCUUGAACGCCAAACCUUUAUUUGUGAAACUUAAUUGGCCUUGCCAGAACUGGGGGCCAUCUCUAAACUAGCCAUUGUGCCUAGGGGAAUAGAAUUUUUCAGUUUGGAAUCAACUUCGGGAUGGGCCAACUGGAAUGGAUUAGGUCACCAGGAUCACAUGGAAUGGAGAAGGGCAAGGGUGCUGACUCCAGAAGGGGGAGUGAGAGUGGGCAGUCAGACAAAGCCUAUCCUGUGAGGUGCAUAAUGAGCUUAGCACCCUUCUUGUUACAUGGUAAGAGCUUAACAGAUGCUAGACAUGGUCAUUAUUAGAGUGCAGAGGUUUACCUGUUAUAACAGGUAAUAAGAAUUUUGUGUUUUUAUUACCUGGUGUUUACUUAUUUUUAGUAACUCAGCAGAACAAGAGGUGAAAUUCACUCUUGCCUUUACCAAGUAUUUCUUUAUUUUUUGCCUCAGGUAUUUUUAGUUGAUGAAAAUUGUGUUUUUUUACAGUUCCUUUCUCUAAAAAAUUGCACUCAUGAUCAUUUUAAUCUUUCCAAUGUCUGCUUGUUGUAGAAAGACUUGAUUUGUUUAAAGAGGUUUCCUUGUUUCGUGCCUUACUGCAAGUGAUGGCCCUAUAUGUUGGCCUUGGAUACUGACGUAGCUGUUAUUCCUCUUCCUGUUGUCAUAUUUCAUUUAACUGCAAAUUAAAAAGAACUGAAAAAAUUACAGCAAUUUCUAGUUCACGUCCAGGAAAUAGAACUCUCUGCAGGAAUCCUUACAUGGUACAAAUAUGUUAGAAAAUCAUUUCCAUUGUGCUUGGAGGGCCUGGAUGGUCACCAUGGAGCACAGUUCACCUCUCCCAGCUGAAGCCCAGACCGACCGUAGAGCGGAGACUGUAGGAAAUCUCCCAUCUGAAGAGUUAAUUUUCUUUCAGGAUCAGUGUUGGAGGCUGCUAUGAUUAAAACAGGACACUUUAAGAAGAUUGAUAUAGGAACAUUUGUAACAGCUGACUAUAAAAAGAAAACCCAGGAGGUCAGGUUCAGUUUUGGGAGCCACUUUGACUUGAGUCUUACAAAGCCUUUAUUUUGAAUUUAUCUCUUUCUCCCAUUGCACAAGCUUUUGCUUUACUAAAAUUGAUCCAUUAAAUUAACAUAAAUAAGCAAAAAACCCCCUUUUUUUUGGUGCUAGGGAUUGAA